GAUGAAGAACGCAGCGAAAUGCGAUAACUAGUGUGAAUUGCAGAAUUCCGUGAAUCAUCGAAUCUUUGAACGCACAUUGCGCCCGCUGGUAUUCCGGCGGGCAUGCCUGUUCGAGCGUCAUUUCAACCCUCAAGCCCCCGGGUUUGGUGUUGGGGAUCGGCUCUGCCCUUCUGGGCGGUGCCGCCCCCGAAAUACAUUGGCGGUCUCGCUGCAGCCUCCAUUGCGUAGUAGCUAACACCUCGCAACUGGAACGCGGCGCGGCCAUGCCGUAAAACCCCAACUUCUGAAUGUUGACCUCGGAUCAGGUAGGAAUACCCGCUGAACUUAAGCAUAUCAAUAAGCGGAGGA
rnacentral:misc_RNA from 1 species